rnacentral:lncRNA from 1 species
GCACAUAUAUAGUAGCAUACACAAGAUAGGAAGAGAUAGCCAAAGAAAAAGAAGGAAGAGAUAGCAACAGCAUGCAUCUCUUGCUUGUACCGAUCCGUGCUUUUUGACAUGCAUCACCAAAUUAAGAUUGCCAAUACAAUUGUAGCAUAUCCUUCCAUUCAUCCAUGCAUGCUACUAUCAUCUUAAUAGCGUCGUUUUGUGAGUCUGUUACAUGCUGAGCCGUUUCUUGAUGCCUAUAUAUGCGUUCUCUAGUCUAGUCUCCUCCAUUACAAGAGAUGUAUGGUGUGAGUACCUCACAGAAUAACCCUUGGGAGCUAGUAAUCAGGUGCUAAUCCCAUGGUUGCAAAUUAGUUUGUUUCUAGUGAACCGAAAGUGUUGCAGAGUUGGGAUUGCAAUGUUAUGUUUUUAGUUAAUUAGUUUUUUGCUUGUUGUGUUGUGUGUUCAGCUUCAGCACAUAUAUAGCCAUUGCAUGCUUCCACUGGUGGAUGGAUAUCUUCAGCACAAAACUGUUUCUAAGAUAAUUUCUUGCUUGCUGUGUUGUGUGUUCAGUUACUUCUGUGGUGAUAUCUUUUGUCGAUCGUCUUAUCUUGUCUACUUUAAUCUUCAGCACAUAGGCAUUACAUGAUCCAGAUGUUGUUGUUUCUGUUGCCUGCUUCCAUUACAUGCUCCAUAAUUGGACCGAUUGUUGAUGAAUUUAAG